rnacentral:rRNA from 1 species
CGUCAAGUCAGCAUGCCCCUUACACCCUGGGCUACACACGUGCUACAUUGGACGAGACAAUGAGACGCAAGUUUGCGAAAAUUAGCUAAUCUAUAAACUCGUUCUAAGUUCGGAUUGUAGGCUGCAACUCGCCUACAUGAAGGUGGAAUCGCUAGUAAUCGCUGGUCAGCUACACAGCGGUGAAUCCGUUCCCGGGCCUU